UAAUUUGCUGAUUUUUCAUCAUUAUCGAUCGUUAAGGUUGAAGUUUUAGUUUAAAGUCUAUUUAGAUAAAAUUCCUUAAGUUUUUUUUUUCUCCUGCUGAUUUUACUUUUAAGGUUUUGCUAACAAAUAUUGACGUUAAAUUAAACGUCACUCGCCUAUUGAUAGUAAUGAGGUGACCCUAGACAAGAUAUUUAAUCGUAUAAUAAUGACCUCUUUCCAUAAAAUAAAUGAUAAUUCCGAACCGUGGAAUUUUUCACGUCCAGUUUUUGCGCAGUUGUGUUAGUCAUAUAUACUUUUAUCCUUCUUUUCAGAUUUUUUUUUCCGAUGCCACCUUUAUCCGACUUUCAAACGACCCUAGAAAUUAUGACGGAAGUUGUCAGAAUGUUUGUCAUUACAUUCUCAAGGUCAAGGUGUCAAUGAAGCAGAUCACGUACAGACUCGCCACCCACUUGUUAUCGAGUUGUUGAUAUCCGAUCAUAUGAGAACUGCAGUUCUAAUUCUUCGUAGCCUACAUUCGAAAACAUUUUGCUUAAAUAAUAGAUUCCAAAAUUAAUUUAAGACACGCAUGAACGUCGACCUCUAUUUUAGAUGCGUUACUCAUCAUCAACAACAAGCA
rnacentral:lncRNA from 1 species